GGAAGGAACGCUAGGCCCCUAGUUCCCAUGAUGGGAGCCGUUUCCAAGGAUGCAGCCUGGAGAAAGCAGUGUUUGCUGAGACCGUGGGGAGCAUCUACGUGGUGGCAAAACCCAGGAUGUACUUCUGACUAGAAGGAACCUCAUGUUGACAUCACAAACCAAAGUCAAGCUGAAGCUGCCAGUGUAUGUUCUCUGAGUGAGUUUCUUGGAGUUAGGAAGAAAACAAGUGGAGUUCCUGUGCUUUUGAGUCUUCUCACAACAUGACGGAUGAAGGAAGACCGCCUUUGUGUGAUGGAGCAGACGUUGGGCUACCAUGACUCAGUGGCCUGCUCUGUGUCUCAGCGAUGCUAGAAGACUCACGUCUACACAAAAUGAAGCAUAUGGAAACACAGAUGAGAGGCAACAAACCAGAGUCACGUCCUAUUUCCUAUGGACAGCACUUUCUGAAAGCCAGCAACAGGAAUAUCACAUGGGUAUGGAGCUGACAUCGUCAUUGACCCAUUUUGUGGGUAGAGAGACGGAUACACUUUGAAAGACAGAAACUAUUUUUUUCCUAGAAGAGGAUUUAUAGGAUGACAAUAAACUCAGAAGAGAUUCCCCCUUACACAUACUCAUAUGAUUUGUUGGGUCAGAAUUCCGUCAGAUUUUAACUGGCUCCUCUACUGAGUGUCUUAUAGACUUGAAGUCAAGGGGUCAGCCAACUGAGCACCCAUGUGGAGUCCUGACUAAGGCAAAUUAGAGUGUGGACUUCCUGGCUAAUUACCCUUAUCCUGACUCCCAGAGAGCCGACCGCCUUCUCAAUAACUUACAGGAAGUUCCAGAAGCUUCUAUAUGAGCUUUCCUAUCAAAACAGCCUGCAGUCCAGGAAGCUAAUGUAGAAGCCUGUCAGUUGCCAAGGGCAUAUUUUGGCUACGCGUUCAAGAACUGGGAAAGUAAGCAUGUGAAUUUCUGGAUCUUACAGGCUCUAUGAUAUAGACAGAUAUCACAAUGCCAUUUAUUACUACCCUUUAUAAGUUGUGUCACUGGAUCACAGCGACUGCCUACACACCCAGCCAUUAGAUGCCCAGAGCCACAGGCAGAAAAAAAAAAAUAAUCCACAGUUUUCAGAGUUGUUUCCCCCGUCUUCUUCCUUAAGGAAGAAAUAUUUACAGAACUAGUAUGAUUUGCAGGUGUAACAGUUAACUCCUCAAAGUUAUCAGGUUUCUUCUUUAAGAGUCUGUGAGUCCAUGAAAUAAGUUAGGAAUAGAAAUUGGGUGAGAAGUCACAAGUCCCUACCAUGGUUGGUUAUAAAAGUCAGGUAGGACGUGAGUGGGAUGGAUGCCCAUCUGUUUUUGCUGUUCAGGUCCCAUGAUCAGUCAAGCACCGUCAAAUACCUUGCAUUUCACACCAUUCAGAUUACUAUGGCAGACUGCUGCCUCGCAAGACCCCGCCCUUAAUAGCCCUCUGAAAGUUAUACUGUCUGUGUCUCCACACCUCUGCUAUCCUCUCACUCCCAUUCUACCGGGGAGAUCAUAUCAACUGCCCCUUCUCCCACCAGCUACUAAAAUAAUUUUUUAGGAAUGCUUGCACUCCCCUCCCCAGUGUGUUUCCAAAGGCCUUGGGGUAAGGGGACCUUCUAGGUCCUUUGUGAAUCAGAGUUUGCUUGAGUGGAAGACUGAACAAGAAAUUUUCACUCACUUAUUUUAAUCUCCACAGUCUUUGGAUUCCUUCCUCUGGAAUCUACCCCAGUUUUUUGUCAUGUCAGUGCUGUCAUGGGGUGCUAUGGUGUCCGAGUUUUAGCUGCUAAUUCAAUACAUGGGAUCUAGAAUUUUUGGUAAGUGCACCUAUGUGGCUAAAGUCAGCUUAAUCGGGGGCGCCUGGGUGACUCAGACGGUUAAGUGUCCAACUCCUGAUUUUGGCUCAGGUCAUGAUCUCACAGUUCCUGAGUCCCAGCCCUGCAUCAGGCUCUGUGCUGAC